rnacentral:rRNA from 1 species
CAGCAGCCACGGGAAUACGGAGGGUGCAAGCGUUAAUCGGAAUUACUGGGCGUAAAGCGCACGCAGGCGGUUUGUUAAGUCAGAUGUGAAAUCCCCGAGCUUAACUUGGGAACUGCAUUUGAAACUGGCAAGCUAGAGUCUUGUAGAGGGGGGUAGAAUUCCAGGUGUAGCGGUGAAAUGCGUAGAGAUCUGGAGGAAUACCGGUGGCGAAGGCGGCCCCCUGGACAAAGACUGACGCUCAGGUGCGAAAGCGUGGGGAUCAAACAGGAUUAGAUACCCCAGUAGUCCCUGUCUCUUAUAC